rnacentral:rRNA from 1 species
UACGUAGGGGGCGAGCGUUGUCCGGAUUCAUUGGGCGUAAAGAGCUCGUAGGCGGUUCAGUAAGUCGGGUGUGAAAUCUCCGUGCUCAACACGGAGCGGCCACCUGAUACUGCUGUGGCUAGAGUCCGGUAGGGGAGCGUGGAAUUCCUGGUGUAGCGGUGAAAUGCGCAGAUAUCAGGAGGAACACCAGCGGCGAAGGCGGCGCUCUGGGCCGGAACUGACGCUGAGGAGCGAAAGCGUGGGUAGCAAACAGG